rfam:Candidatus Burkholderia brachyanthoides strain TZHbot7 BRCHctg597, whole genome shotgun sequence.
CCGGUUGUUGCAUCAACCGUUCCCUACCCGGACAUGCGGAGCUGGUAACAACUCGGU